rnacentral:ncRNA from 1 species
AGAUGAAGGAAACACCCCGUCCACAGGGCACUGUGGGCGAGUCCCGGCCGUGGCCCUCCCGGCUUCGACCUGGUCGUGCCCUCGCGCACACACCCGGGGCCCCCGGCUCCGGAUCUCCUCACCGAUCGGA